GCACUGCUGAUAGGUCCCAAACAGGACGAAACAGCUGUCCAGUGC
rnacentral:hammerhead_ribozyme from 1 species